GGCGAGCGUUGAUACGCCCGAUGGGGGUAAAACCCAGAUGGUUUGAAGCUGGAAGCAGGCCAGCACCACUGAGGUGACACCAAAGGGAUUACCCCUGUAAGGGGCACUGCACGAAUGACUGUCGUAUAGCAUCAUACAACAUCAUAAUUCUGCUGUGUACACAAAAUAAUGCUGAUGAUAACUUGGAAUGGAACAAACAGGUCUAACAAUUUUAAGUAUUAAAAAAAAGAGUAUUGGCUUCAGGGAAUCAUUGCCAAUGAAAUAGAUAUCUUAUGCUUUUCCCCCUCUUCUGAAGAAUAGAAUUGUGCAGGAUCUAAAAAUGUAUCCAGCAACAUCUUGGUAUCGUUAAAUGUCAAGGUAAUAAACAAAAAUAAAGGUG